rnacentral:rRNA from 1 species
UACAGAGGUGGCAAGCGUUGUUCGGAAUUACUGGGCGUAAAGGGCGCGUAGGCGGCCAUCUAAGUCAGACGUGAAAUCCCCCGGCUUAACCUGGGAACUGCGUCUGAUACUGGAUGGCUUGAGUUCGGGAGAGGGAUGCGGAAUUCCAGGUGUAGCGGUGAAAUGCGUAGAUAUCCGGAGGAACACCGGUGGCGAAGGCGGCAUCCUGGACCGACACUGACGCUGAGGAGCGAAAGCCAGGGGAGCAAACGGG